rnacentral:rRNA from 1 species
AAACCAGCACCUCAAGUGGUCAGGAGGAUUAUUGGGCCUAAAGCAUCCGUAGCCUGCUUUGUAAGUUUCCCGAUAAAUCCAUUAGCUUAACUGAUGGGCCGCCGGAAAAACUGCAAAGCUAGGGAGUGGGAGAGGUAGACGGUACUCAGUAGGAAGGGGUAAAAUCCUUUGAUCUAGUGAAGACCACCAGUGGCGAAGGCGGUCUACCAGAACACGUUCGACGGUGAGGGAUGAAAGCUGGGGGAGCAAACCGGAUUAGAAACCCCAGUAGUCC